AUCGAACGAACUCUUCGGAGUUAGUGGCGGACGGGUGAGUAACACGUGGGAACGUGCCUUUUGGUUCGGAAUAACUCAGGGAAACUUGUGCUAAUACCGAAUGUGCCCUUCGGGGGAAAGAUUUAUCGCCAUUAGAGCGGCCCGCGUCUGAUUAGCUAGUUGGUGAGGUAAAGGCUCACCAAGGCGACGAUCAGUAGCUGGUCUGAGAGGAUGAUCAGCCACAUUGGGACUGAGACACGGCCCAAACUCCUACGGGAGGCAGCAGUGGGGAAUCUUGCGCAAUGGGCGAAAGCCUGACGCAGCCAUGCCGCGUGAAUGAUGAAGGUCUUAGGAUUGUAAAAUUCUUUCACCGGGGACGAUAAUGACGGUACCCGGAGAAGAAGCCCCGGCUUACUUCCUGGCCACCGGCGCGGAAAGACGAAGGGGGCUGAGCGGUCCAGGGAAGUAAAUGGGGGUAAAGGCCGCGCAGGUGGAUUUUAAAUUCCCGCAUGCAAUCCCGGUGGUCGAGGUCCGCGUUGA
rnacentral:rRNA from 1 species